AAUACCCUGCCCGGUUCGCUUACAGGCACAACUUCUCUGACCCAAUAAGUUUGAUGACGGGAGCUUGAAUACGCCAGGAUCCGAAUGCCGCUUCGGCGGACCCGGUGAAUGCGGCUAAAGCACCCACCUCGCACGCGAGGUUCAGAGAUCGUCGCCUCUACGACUGGGCGGGGUAUUU
rnacentral:other from 2 species